rnacentral:rRNA from 1 species
GCACAAGCGGUGGAUGAUGUGGAUUAAUUCGAUGCAACGCGAAAAACCUUACCUACCCUUGACAUGUCCGGAAUCCCGAAGAGAUUUGGGAGUGCCCGAAAGGGAAUCGGAACACAGGUGCUGCAUGGCUGUCGUCAGCUCGUGUCGUGAGAUGUUGGGUUAAGUCCCGCAACGAGCGCAACCCUUGUCAUUAGUUGCCAUCAUUUGGUUGGGCACUCUAAUGAGACUGCCGGUGACAAACCGGAGGAAGGUGGGGAUGACGUCAAGUCCUCAUGGCCCUUAUGGGUAGGGCUUCACACGUCAUACAAUGGUCGGUACAGAGGGUUGCCAACCCGCGAGGGGGAGCUAAUCCCACAAAGCCGAUCGUAGUCCGGAUCGCAGUCUGCAACUCGACUGCGCGAAGUCGGAAUCGCUAGUAAUCGUGGAUCAGCAUGUCACGGUGAAUACGUUCCCGGGUCUU